rnacentral:tRNA from 1 species
ACCCUCGUAGCUCAAUUGGAUAGAGCGCACCGCCUCUACCGGUAAGGUUGUCGGUUCGAGACCGACCGAGGGUA